GCCUUGGCAACAGAGUGAGACUCCAUCUCCAAAAAGAAAAACAAACAAACAAACAAAAAACCAAUUCGACACCAAAUUUUGGAACUUAAAAAGAAGAUUCUUAAAACUUACAAUCCAGGUUGUUCAGGCUGAGAAGGAAGAGAGGUUGGUCUUGCUGUCUCUGGGUUGCAGAGGCAGAAGAAAAUCUGCAUAUAAAUGAACUCCUGCAGUUCAAACCCUUGCUGUUCAAGGGUGAACUGUAUUACCUGUUAAUUUGUGUCACUAAGGAAGUAUCUUUAGAACCGGGAACUCAACAAUCCCUUUCUCGUAGAAUAAAUAAAUGGCAGUAAGAACUGUAAAAGUGAACCAGUGUGCACCCAUACGAAUAGGAGAUUAUUGUUUGAAGAUACCUACUGAGUGCAGAAAACAGAAAAGCAAUUCCUUUGUGAGAAGCACAAGUUAUGUUACAUAUUCUUACAUAAGCAAAAUGGUUUUAUCUGUCAUAGUUUACACACACACGUGCACAUACACACAUGUGCGUUCGGGUGCGCACACACACACAUGCACACAAAGUUAAAAGUCCUGCUGAUUGUUAAUGACCAAAUCCACUGCUUGCAGGGAGUAGUGGAUAACACAGCCUACAGCUUGGAUGCAAUUCUUUUGGCUUUUUGACUUGUUCUGUGAUGAACUGCCUUGAAUGGGUCAACCAUGUUUUAGUCUUAUGAGAAAUGAAAAGAUUAGGGGCAAGUAAAAGGAACUCUAUGAUCAGUAGUUAUACUAUUAUACUAUAUUCAAUGGUUAUGUUUUUUUCCAGUUAUACAAGUUACUUGAAUGAUGCACAAUUAAUUUAUUAUCAUUAUUAUAAGAGAUGGGCUCUCUCUAUGUUGCCCAGGCUAGAAUAUUGUGUCUAUUCAGUGGUACAGUCAUAGCUCACUGUAGCCUGGAACUUCUGGGCUCAAGCAGUCGUCCCACCUCAUCCUCCUGAGUAGCUGGGAUUGUAGCUAUGUGUAGUUACAUCUAGCUGGAUACACAAUCAUUUGUUUAUUUAUUUAUUCAUUUUUAUUAUUAUUAUUUUUUGAGACAGGUCCCCCUCUGUUGCCAGUACUGGAGUGCAGUGGUGGGAUCUAUCUUGGCUCCCUGCAACUUCUGCUUUCUGGCCUUAAAUGAUUCUUUCACCUCAGCCUCCCGAGUAGCUGGGACUACAGGCAUGCCCCACCACGCUUGGCUAAUUUUCCUUUUAAGGUUUUUUUUUCCUCACUAUAUUGCCCAGGCUGGUCUGGAAGUCUGGAACUUCUGGGCUCAAGUGAUCCUCCUGCUUCGGCCUCCCAAAAUGCUAGGAUUUUACGGAUGUGAGCCACCACACCUGGCCUGCACAAUUAUUAUAAAAAGGAAUUAAGCCCAGUUGAGUUGCAGAAAAUUGACCACCUUUUCAUUUUUUGUUUCUAGAAACAUUCAUAUUGUAGAACAUAUUGUCAAUCAUCAAGAUUCCCUAUUUUUUAUUCUGGUAAAACUAGGAUUGCUGCUUAUUUCCCAUUAUUUUCUAACAAUUGCUUCACUUAUUUCUUUUAUGGCUUUAAUCAGUUGAGUAUAGAAAUACAAGAACCUCCAAGUCAAAUAUCAAGGAAAGAAAAGAAAAACAGAUUAGGGAAAGUUAUUCUGUGAAAUAACCAUCUGAUUAUAGGUCAUGUCAACUUAAUAAAAACCUUAUAUAAUGCAUUUGUGACAAGGGUUCCCAAGACCACCCCCAGGUUUGGUGAUUCACUAGAAGGACUCACAGGAUUCAGCAAAUAAUCAUAUUCAGAUCUUUAAUUGAUUACAAUGAAAGGGUACAAGCAAAAUGAGAGGGAAAAGGUGCAUGUGGUGGUCAAGUCUGGAGGAAACCAGGCACAAGCUUCCAGAAGUUCUCUCCUGUGGAGUUCCCAGGAUCUGCUUAAUUCCCCCAGCCUCACAUUUUGACAACCCAUGUGCAGUGAUGUCUACCAGUACCAGAAUCUCAUUAGAGACUCAGUACCCAAGUGUUUUUUAUGGAGGUUACUCUCCCUCACAUGUACCCACAUUCCGACCUUCAGAAGGAAAGCAGCUGCUCAGAAGUAACCGCAUUGUUUCUAUAAACACUUUAGACACAGUGACCAGUCUUAGGGCAUGGUGGGAACCCUCCCAAUUCCAAUUUCCUAAACAACAGCCAAGGGCCAGGCUUGCAUGCGGGUCUUUCUGAGGACGGCAGUCUCUCUCCUGCUAUAUGAAAUCUUUCCUGCACAACAGUUUUAGCCCCAACUUAACUUUUGGUGCUGUUUUAAAAUUUCAUUUUAACAGCAAAUAAUAUUAUAAGAUAAGGUAACCUGGUGCUAGUUUCUGUUGCAUGAUCCAUCCUGUGUUGCAAUGCUGGCUACCUUUUUGACUUCUGGUGACUCACAGGUAUUUGAAUGGAAGUUACCAUAGCAAUAUUAAGCAAUUAUAAUC
rnacentral:lncRNA from 1 species